rnacentral:rRNA from 1 species
GUGAGGAAUUUUCCGCAAUGGGCGAAAGCCUGACGGAGCAAUGCCGCGUGAAGGAUGAAGGCCUAUGGGUUGUAAACUUCUUUUCUCAGAAAAGAAUUAUGACGGUAUCUGAGGAAUAAGACUCGGCUAACUCUGUGCCAGCAGCCGCGGUAAGACAGAGGAUGCAAGCGUUAUCCGGAAUGAUUGGGCGUAAAGCGUCUGUAGGUUGUUUAAAAAGUAUUCUGUCAAAGAUUAGGGCUUAACCCUAGAUAGGCAGAAUAAACUUUUAAGCUAGAGUGUGGUAGAGGCAGAGGGAAUUCCCGGUGGAGCGGUGAAAUGCGUAGAUAUCGGGAGGAACACCAAAGGCGAAGGCACUCUGCUGGGCCAAUACUAACACUGAGAGACGAAAGCGAGGGGAGCAAAUGGGAUUAGAAACCCGAGUAGUCC